UGCAUUUUCUCUGUAAGUUGG
rnacentral:piRNA from 1 species